rnacentral:rRNA from 1 species
GAUGAACGCUGGUGGCGUGCCUAACGCAUGCAAGUCGAGCGAUUCUCUUCGGCGAAUAGCGGCGGACGGGUGGGUAAAGCGUGGGUAACCUCCCCUGUAACCACCGCUAACCUACCGAAAGGUAUCCUAAUACGAGAUAACAUGCCUUUAUCGCACUGUAGAAGUAUCAAAGCUUUUGCGGAACAGGAUGGACGCGCGUCUGAUUGGCUAGUUGGUGAGGUAAUGGCUCAGUAAGGCGACGCUCAGUAUCCGACAUGUGAGGGUGAUCGGCCACAUUGGAACUGAGACACAGUCCAAACGCCUACGGGAGGCAGCAGAGGAGAAUAUUGCACGAUGGGCGAAAGCCUGAUGCAGCAGCGCCGCGGGAGCGAGGAAGGCCGUCGUGACGUAAAGCUCUGUCCGCAAGGAAGAUAAUGACGGUACUGGGUGAGGAAGCCCCGGCUAACUACGUG